ACUCCUACGGGAGGCAGCAGUGGGGAAUUUUGGACAAUGGGCGAAAGCCUGAUCCAGCAAUGCCGCGUGAGUGAAGAAGGCCUUCGGGUUGUAAAGCUCUUUUGUCAGGGAAGAAACGGUGAGGGCUAAUAUCCCUUGCUAAUGACGGUACCUGAAGAAUAAGCACCGGCUAACUACGUGCCAGCAGCCGCGGUAAUACGUAGGGUGCAAGCGUUAAUCGGAAUUACUGGGCGUAAAGCGUGCGCAGGCGGUUUUUGUAAGUCUGAUGUGAAAUCCCCGGGCUCAACCUGGGGAAUUGCAUUGGAGACUGCAAGGCUAGAAUCUGGCAGAGGGGGGUAGAAUUCCACGUGUAGCAGUGAAAUGCGUAGAUAUGUGGAGGAACACCGAUGGCGAAGGCAGCCCCCUGGGUCAAGAUUGACGCUCAUGCACGAAAGCGUGAGGAGCAAACAGGAUUAGAUACCCUGGUAGGCUCUGC
rnacentral:rRNA from 1 species